rnacentral:rRNA from 1 species
GCUCGUAGGCGGUUUGUCACGUCUGCUGUGAAAGCUGAAGGCUUAACCUUCAGUUUGCAGUGGGUACGGGCAGGCUGGAGUGCAGUAGGGGAGACUGGAAUUCCUGGUGUAGCGAUGAAAUGCGCAGAUAUCAGGAGGAACACCGAUGGCGAAGGCAGGUCUCUGGGCUGUUACUGACGCUGAGGAGCGAAAGCAUGAGGAGCGAACAGGAUUAGAUACCCUGGUAGUCCAUGCCGUAAACGAUGGGCACUAGGUGUGGGGACCAUUUCCACGGUUUCCGCGCCGUAGCUAACGCAUUAAGUGCCCCGCAUGGGGAGUACGGUCGCAAGGCUAAAACUCAAAGGAAUUGACGGGGGCCCGCACAAGCGGCGGAGCACGCGGAUUAAUUCGAUGCAACGCGAAGAACCUUACCAAGGCUUGACAUACACCGGAUCGCCCUAGAGAUAGGGUUUCCCUUCGGGGCUGGUGUACAGGUGGUGCAUGGUUGUCGUCAGCUCGUGUCGUGAGAUGUUGGGUUAAGUCCCGCAACGAGCGGAACCCCUAUGCUAUGUUGCCAGCACGUAAUGGUGGGGACUCAUGGGAGACUGCCGGGGUCAACUCGGAGGAAGGUGGGGACGACGUCAAACCAUCAUGCCCCUUAUGUCUUGGGCUUCACGCAUGCUACAAUGGCCGGCACAAUGGGUUGCGAGAUCGUGAGGUUGAGCUAAUCCCAUAAAACCGGUCUCAGUUCGGAUUGGGGUCUGCAACUCGACCCCAUGAAGUCGGAGU